rnacentral:rRNA from 1 species
UACAGAGGGUGCAAGCGUUGUUCGGAAUUAUUGGGCGUAAAGCGCGUGUAGGCGGCUUUGCAAGUCGGGUGUGAAAGCCCUCAGCUCAACUGAGGAAGUGCGCCCGAAACUGCAGAGCUUGAGUACCGGAGAGGAUGGCGGAAUUCCCGAAGGAGAGGUGAAAUUCGUAGAUAUCGGGAGGAACACCGGUGGCGAAGGCGGCCAUCUGGACGGAUACUGACGCUGAGACGCGAAAGCGUGGGGAGCAAACAGG